CGCCAAUCCACCGCCACGCCGCCACCCAUGUCGUCUUUCUCCACGUGUUGCCGCCCCACCUCGGUGUCUUGCUUUCCGCGACGCCGCAACAAACUCCGCCUUCAACCAUCGUUCUUCUUCCCCGCGACUCUGCACCUAGUGCCGCCUCCAUUCUCGCCCUCAUCGUGCGCGCCGCCGCCGCUACUGUUCUCCCUGCUCGGAUCUGCCCACGAGUUUCUGCUCCUCUCUCGUGCUCCUCCUCUCCAUCUCCUGCAGGUGCAGACACUCUGACACGCGCUCUGCCUGGUCGCGCCGCCGCUGGCUCCACGGCCCCUACGUGUCCACACACGACAUGUGCCAUGUGGUCUUCCCUCCCCAUGCCACCACUACUGUCGAG
rnacentral:misc_RNA from 1 species